UGGGGAAUAUUGGACAAUGGGCGAAAGCCUGAUCCAGCCAUGCCGCGUGUGUGAAGAAUGUCUUCGGAUUGUAAAGCUCUUUAAGUUGGGAGGAAGGGCAGUAAGCGAAUACCUUGCUGUUUUGACGUUACCGACAGAAUAAGCACCGGCUAACUCUGUGCCAGCAGCCGCGGUAAUACAGAGGGUGCAAGCGUUAAUCGGAAUUACUGGGCGUAAAGCGCGCGUAGGUGGUUCGUUAAGUUGAAUGUGAAAGCCCCGGGCUCAACCUAGGAACUGAAUCCAAAACUGGCGGGCUAGAGUAGGGCAGAGGGUGGUGGAAUUUCCUGUGUAGCGGUGAAAUGCGUAGAUAUAGGAAGGAACACCAGUGGCGAAGGCGACCACCUGGGCUCAUACUGACACUGAGGUGCGAAAGCGUGGGGAGCAAACAGG
rnacentral:rRNA from 1 species